rnacentral:rRNA from 1 species
GAUUGAACGCUGGCGGCAGGCUUAACACAUGCAAGUCGAACGGUAACAGGAGAAAGCUUGCUUUCUUGCUGACGAGUGGCGGACGGGUGAGUAAUGCUUGGGAAUCUGGCUUAUGGAGGGGGAUAACGACGGGAAACUGUCGCUAAUACCGCGUAGAGUCGAGAGACGAAAGUGCGGGACCGCAAGGCCGCAUGCCAUAGGAUGAGCCCAAGUGGGAUUAGGUAGUUGGUGGGGUAAWRGCCUACCAAGCCGACGAUCUCUAGCUGGUCUGAGAGGAUGACCAGCCACACCGGGACUGAGACACGGCCCGGACUCCUACGGGAGGCAGCAGUGGGGAAUAUUGCGCAAUGGGGGCAACCCUGACGCAGCCAUGCCGCGUGAAUGAAGAAGGCCUUCGGGUUGUAAAGUUCUUUCGGUAUUGAGGAAGGUUGUUGUGUUAAUAGCACGACAAAUUGACGUUAAAUACAGAAGAAGCACCGGCUAACUCCGU